rnacentral:lncRNA from 1 species
AUGGGGACCAUACGUGGGAUCUAUGCACUUUUUUUUUUAAUUCCUCCCACACUCGGGCCCACCAAAAGACCCAAGGUCGCUGUCCCACGGGGACAGCAUAAGAACCUAAAGCCCAAGACUACAAUUGGUAGCCAGCAAUCCAUCCAUAUUGCCAUCAAUUUAAAAUCAAUCCAUCAAAUUACUAUAUUUAAUAUAUUUUUAGAUAAUAAUUUAGAUCAUCCC